rnacentral:lncRNA from 1 species
AUGGAGAGGUCGGGGGGAUCUGUCUCUGCCUCGCCCUUCCCCCCCCAGGAUCGGUCUCUUCCCCUCCCCACCUGCCUCCCUGGACCCUCCGGGAGGAGGGGGGCCUGCAGCAGCGAGAGGAGUGUCCUGUUCUGGAGGAAGAGCUGGGAGGAGAGGACCCUCCUACCGUUCUGGGUGGCAACGGUGGGAGGGUCCUGGAGCCUCUUGCACCAGGGCCGAGGUGGAGGGAGCGUGGAGGGUCCCCCGCCUCUGACCCAGUCCCUGACAGUCACAGAUCUGUUCUCUGUAAUGUCCUUCUGCCUGGCUCCUUUGAUAGACACAAGACCAUGGAAAUUGGCCCCCGUCAUUGCAGUACCGGGUCGCUGGAGUUGGAAGAUGUGGCCUUUUCAGUGAUCCUGUCUCUCCUCCUGUGUUUUGUUUUUGUUUUUAGGUUUAAAUAUGUUAUUUGUUCUCAAACCAGACUUUAUUAUAAUUUUACUUUCCAGACUUUAAUGGAAGCAAACCCAGCCAUAACAUUUGAAAAUAUACUUCUUAGCUUAUCUCGUUUUCAACUGGGAGAAUUGCCAUGUUUGACGAUCUGUCAUACCCAGGUGACGAUCUUAAAUAAUUUUGCAUUCAUUUCAACUUCCUGAAAUGUGUUUCAUAGAACCUCCCAGGGACUGGUAUUGUUACAAUAAAAAACAGAACCCACAGAGGAAGUCCAUUUCCAAAUUUAGAUAAGAUUGCACUCAGCAAAAUUCAAGAAGCCUCUCACGGCUUCUCCUCCUCGACCUGGCAACUGUUCUUGUCACUGAGAAGGCUCCCCUGCCUUCCAGAAGAGCCUGUCAGCCACAUGCAUGGCACCAGCAUGUCCUGAGGGGCUGUGGUCUCUCCCACUGCUCCCAGUGUUAUGCUCCACCGGAACCCCAAGGCCUGCAUGUCCCUCUGCUGUGGCUUCUCUCCUUUCCUUUUUAAGCAAAUGCUUAUGUAAUCCCACGCUCACUCUGUGACAGGUCCUGAUAAGCCUUUCCCACAUUAACUCAUGAAAUCCUGGUGAGGCCCUCAGAGCCAGGCGUUGCUCUGGGCCCCUCUGUGUGGAUGGCUCCCCAAAGGGCUCCGACAGAAGGACACUGGCAUUCACCAUUUGCUGUGGCUCUUGGACAACAGAUCCAGCAGGGAAGUUCUCCGUUUAGGCUAAUGAA